rnacentral:rRNA from 1 species
CAGCACCUCAAGUGGUCAGGAUGAUUAUUGGGCCUAAAGCAUCCGUAGCCGGCGCUGUAAGUUUUCGGUUAAAUCUGUACGCUCAACGUACAGGCUGCCGGGAAUACUGCAGCGCUAGGGAGUGGGAGAGGUAGACGGUACUCGGUAGGAAGGGGUAAAAUCCUUUGAUCUAUUGAUGACCGCCUGUGGCGAAGGCGGUCUACCAGAACACGUCCGACGGUGAGGGAUGAAAGCUGGGGGAGCAAACCGGAUUAGAUACCCGCGUAGUCC